UAGUUGGUGAGGUAACGGCUCACCAAGACCGCGAUCGGUAGCCGGACUGAGAGGUUGAACGGCCACAUUGGGACUGAGACACGGCCCAGACUCCUACGGGAGGCAGCAGUGGGGGAUAUUGCGCAAUGGGGGCAACCCUGACGCAGCAACGCCGCGUGAAGGAUGAAGGUUUUCGGAUUGUAAACUUCUUUUAUUAAGGACGAAACUUGACGGUACUUAAUGAAUAAGCUCCGGCUAACUACGUGCCAGCAGCCGCGGUAAUACGUAGGGAGCAAGCGUUGUCCGGAUUUACUGGGUGUAAAGGGUGCGUAGGCGGCUUUGCAAGUCAGAUGUGAAAUCUAUGGGCUCAACCCAUAAACUGCAUUUGAAACUGUAGAGCUUGAGUGAAGUAGAGGCAGGCGGAAUUCCCCGUGUAGCGGUGAAAUGCGUAGAGAUGGGGAGGAACACCAGUGGCGAAGGCGGCCUGCUGGGCUUUAACUGACGCUGAGGCACGAAAGCGUGGGUAGCAAACAGGAUUAGAUACCCUGGUAGUCCACGCUGUAAACGAUGAUUACUAGGUGUGGGGGGUCUGACCCCUUCCGUGCCGG
rnacentral:rRNA from 1 species